rnacentral:rRNA from 1 species
AGAACGAACGCUGGCGGCAUGCCUAAUACAUGCAAGUCGAACGAACACUUCGGUGUUAGUGGCGCACGGGUGCGUAACGCGUGGGAAUCUGCCCUUGGGUUCGGAAUAACAGUUGGAAACGACUGCUAAUACCGGAUGAUAUCGAAAGAUCAAAGAUUUAUCGCCCAGGGAUGAGCCCGCGUAGGAUUAGCUAGUUGGUGAGGUAAAGGCUCACCAAGGCGACGAUCCUUAGCUGGUCUGAGAGGAUGAUCAGCCACACUGGGACUGAGACCCAGGCCCAGACUCCUACGGGAGGCAGCAGUAGGGAAUAUUGGACAAUGGGCGCAAGCCUGAUCCAGCAAUGCCGCGUGAGUGAUGAAGGCCUUAGGGUUGUAAAGCUCUUUUACCCGAGAUGAUAAUGACAGUAUCGGAGAAUAAGCCCCGGACUAACUCCGUGCCAGCAGCCGC